rnacentral:misc_RNA from 1 species
GAUGAAGAACGCAGCGAAAUGCGAUAAGUAGUGUGAAUUGCAGAAUUCCGUGAAUCAUCGAAUCUUUGAUCGCACAUUGCGCCUUCUGGUAUUCCGGAAGGCAUGCCUGUUCGAGAGUCAUUAACAACCGUUUCGAUCCCUUUCUUUCAGAAAUUACAAAGAGGAAAAGGGUUUGGUUAUGGUGGAGGAGGGAAAGGGAGCGUUUAGCCUGUAAAAAAAGAGGCUGUGUUCCGCCUCCCCCCCAAAAUUGUACAGGCGGUCGUGUGCGCCCACGCAUCGAGGUGUUGUAAAAGCUGCCACGGCACUUUUCACCUGUGCAGUGCGAGAUUGGCCAGCCGGUUUAAAAACCCCUCCAAACAAUCAAAGGUUGACCUCGGAUCAGGUAGGGAUACCCGCUGAACUUAAGCAUAUCAAUAAGCGGAGGA